UGGGGGAUCGUCUAACGGUAGGACUGCAGACUCUGACUCUGCCUAUCUAGGUUCGAAUCCUAGUCCCCCAGCCA
rnacentral:tRNA from 7 species